GACGUAGGGGGCGAGCGUUGUCCGGAUUUAUUGGGCGUAAAGAGCGUGUAGGCGGCUUUACAGGUCCGUUGUGAAAACUCGAGGCUCAACCUCGAGACGCCGGUGGAAACCGUAAGGCUAGAGUCCGGAAGAGGAGAGUGGAAUUCCUGGUGUAGCGGUGAAAUGCGCAGAUAUCAGGAGGAACACCGAUGGCGAAGGCAGGUCUCUGGGCCACUACUGACGCUGAGAAGCGAAAGCAUGGGGAGCGAACAGG
rnacentral:rRNA from 1 species